GUCCACGCCGUAAACGUUGCAUACUCGAUCUUAGCGAUACACAGUUAGGAUCCAAGCGAAAGCGUUAAGUAUGCCACCUGGGAAGUACGAUCGCAAGAUUGAAACUCAAAGGAAUUGACGGGGGCCCCGCACAAGCGGAGGAGCAUGUGGUUUAAUUCGAUGAUACGCGAGGAACCUUACCUGGGCUUGAAUGUGAGUGACCGAUGCCGAAAGGUAUCUUCCCUUCGGGGCACAAAACAAGGUGCUGCAUGGCUGUCGU
rnacentral:rRNA from 1 species